CUGCAGUGGGGGACCCGGGGUCCCUGGGGCAGGAGUCCCCUCUCCAGGGCCCAGGAGGAGAGGGAAGCCACUCCCUGUGGCAAACUGAGGCCCCAGACCCGCCCUGCUACCUCGCCUCCUAGGACCCCUACCCGCAGCCUGCAGGGCACCUCUGCGGCUCAGCCUGGCCCCGCGCCCCGCCUCAGUUGUCCCUGGGCCAUUGUGUGGGCAUGAGGUGUCCCGGAGAAGCCCACGAGGACCAGGACAGUCCAGAGAAGAGAUGAUGGGGUCUUGAGGACUGCAACCUGACCAGGGACAUCCACGUGAGGCUCUGUGACCUGAGGGCACUCCUGGUGGCCCCUGGGGUCACACUGCAUCGCUGCCUCCUGCCCCUCCCUUCCUGUCUGGUGAGCCAGCCUGCUUUCCCGCCACACCCUCCUGCCAGGACGCUCGCCUCAGGCCAGAGCAGCGGAGCCGGCUGACCGUCCCGAGUCCUCCUCCACGAUGACACCGUCAGGCAAUGUGGUCACAAGGACACGAGCUGGGAGCAGCCUGCCCGCAGGGUGCUCAGCCCUGGGAUGGUCCCUCCGAGCGCCGUGGGCACAGGGACUGGCGUGCUCUCCGCGGGAGUCCCCGCCCCGCCCCACCGUCUCUCCCAGCCCCCGGCUCCUUCCAGAAGGCCCCACUCGCGGGUGCAAGGCGCCUGCCUGAGCCGGGUCUGUUCUGUCUUGUUGGCCGUCGGUUGGGAUUCCUGAGGAAUGCCAUCUUCUAUUUUCAUUAAAACACACACGCAGAAC
rnacentral:lncRNA from 1 species